CGGGAUUUAGUAGACAGAAGCUUCGGUGGAAGAUUACUAAUGAGAGUGGCGAACGGGUGAGUAACGCGUGAGCAACCUGCCUAUGACAGUGGGAUAGCNUCGGGAAACCGGGAUUAAUACCGCAUAAAAUCGUAGAAACACAUGUUUUAGCGGUCAAAGAUUUAUCGGUCAUAGAUGGGCUCGCGUCUGAUUAGCUAGUUGGUGAGAUAACAGCCCACCAAGGCGACGAUCAGUAGCCGGUCUGAGAGGAUGAACGGCCACAUUGGAACUGAGACACGGUCCAAACUCCUACGGGAGGCAGCAGUGGGGAAUAUUGCACAAUGGGGGAAACCCUGAUGCAGCGACGCCGCGUGAACGAAGAAGGUAUUCGUAUCGUAAAGUUCUGUCCUAUGGGAAGAUAAUGACAGUACCAUAGAAGAAAGCUCCGGCUAAAUACGUGCCAGCAGCCGCGGUAAUACGUAUGGAGCGAGCGUUGUCCGGAAUUAUUGGGCGUAAAGGGUACGCAGGCGGUUUAAUAAGUCGAAUGUUAAAGAUCGGGGCUCAACCCCGUAAAGCAUUGGAAACUGAUAAACUUGAGUAGUGGAGAGGAAAGUGGAAUUCCUAGUGUAGUGGUGAAAUACGUAGAUAUUAGGAGGAAUACCAGUAGCGAAGGCGACUUUCUGGACACAAACUGACGCUGAGGUACGAAAGCGUGGGGAGCAAACAGGAUUAGAUACCCUGGUAGUCCACGCCGUAANCGAUNNAUGNNAGNNNGNUGUGAGUGAGUGUGUGUGUGUGUGGUGGAGGUCGCUAGAUGG
rnacentral:rRNA from 1 species